rnacentral:lncRNA from 1 species
CAGGGACUUUCCUGGCAGUUCAGUGGUUAGGAUUCCAUGCUUCUACUGCAGAGAACAUGGGUUCAAUCCCUGGUAGGGGAAGAUACCGCAAGUCAUACAGCACGACCAAAAAGAAAAAACAAAAAACAAACAAACAAAAAAUCCCUUUUCCUCCCCCAACCACUUCUUCCCAAAGCUCCAACUGCUUUGCACCUCUGUUCUCCAUUUUCCCCAGAAAAACUCCCAGGCCCAGCCCCUGAACAGCCUCCUUUAUCCUGGCGCCCCCUUUCUCUUGGGAGUGGGGAGACAAAAUGUCGCAAAAGGAAACCUCGCUAGUGCGCAGGUGAGUCCUCUCACCUUGGUUUCUGCUUAUUGCUGUGGGCUGUAACCACCAUUUAUAACCUCGAUUUCUUUGAAAAACCCACUUAGGGGCUCCAGUGCGGUCCACAGCUGACAUCGCGUGGGCGGGAAAUAGGCCGAGGCAUCUACUCUUUGGAGACCUCUGCUCCUCCCUCCCAAUGACCCAUUGAUAACCAGGGACACGGGUCCCCAGCUCUGUCCCCUCCUAGACCUCGUCCCUUGCAGCCCCAUCAGCUGCCAGGACCCAGAUCCGCAGCAAGGGCACCUGGAGUUCUCCCGGUCCCAGGCAGAGCCCCCGCGAACCCUGGAACGCUGUUUCCUGCUGCUCCUCUUUCCCUCCUCCUGCUGUUCCUCCUCUCCUCCUGGCGCUCUGGCCCCCGCGGGUCGCUGUCUUUCUCCGGCCUCCGCCCCUAGCCGCUACCGCCCCCUGGCAGCCGUCUCCAUGGUGCACACCAGACGCGGGAAGCCACCCGGCGGCGGUGGAGGGAGGCAGGGACCCGGCGCAUGAGGCAAGUUACAGUUCUCAGAAUCCAAGUGGAAUUUAACGCUAUGAAACAAUGCCAAGAGAAAAGCAAGGAAAACGAAAAACUAAAGGAGCACCCCAGUCCAUUGUUUCCAUUCUUCAAAAGUUCCUGAAAACAUACGAGAAGCGUUGUGUACAGACUCAGACGUCUGUGUGUCCAGCCAUCAAAAGGGACUUGAAAGCCAGCAUCAACCAUGAACGGAUUCUCAGGAAGUUUGUACUGGUGAGACCUGAUGACUCCCCGCCAGGCAUCCCACCAAUGUCCUUGGAAGCUUUGCUCAUGACUGUUCGGGAUGAGUGUUACAUGCUGGGGAGAGAGAUCUGCAUCUGGGGCUUUCAACUGAGCAACCCAGAGAUCGCCAGACUUGCUUUGCUUCUAGAAUCGAAGGGGCACACCCGCUGCCCGUUUACCACCCUGGAACUCAUUGACUGCAAGAUGGAUCCAUGGUCUCUGGGGAGGCUUGGGCAGGCUUUGCAUCUCAGCAGUCUGCAUGUUCUUGUCCUCGACUACUGCAGAUUUACACAUGAAGAAAUUGAGAGUAUUCUCUCAGGCCUGGAGAACAACCAAAGGCUUCAGAGCCUCAGUCUGCGCUACUGUGGUCUGGGGCCACAGAAUGGACCGAGGCUGGGCUCCAUCGUAUGCCACAGUGCCAUUCGUGAGCUGCACCUCGGUGGCAAUUACUUGCAAUGUUCUGGAGCUCUGGGUCUCCUCAGACCCCUGGCAGAGUAUGCAGAGAUGCAGGGGAAAGACCAACUGGCCAUUUCCCCACCAGACACCAGGAACCCCCCUCCGCUGCUCCAAGCCAGACAGAGAGGAAGUUCACCUCUGAACCAGAUUGCAGAGUCAUCCAGGGCUGUAACAGUGAAACAUACCUCAGGGAAGAAGAGAAAAAAAGGAAUCAAGAAAAAAAUUAAAGAUUUGAUUGAAACUGGUCCUUGGUUGGUGAAGUUGUAUUUAGCAGAUAAUGGUAUAGAUGGAAAGGGAAAAGAAGGAGAAAAUGACUUGUUGGAAUUAACUCAAAUAUUAACAUGCCUGAUCAAAUACUCUGUCCACUUAAAGGAGAUUGACCUUGGAAACAAUGUCCUGGGAGAAAAGGCUGCUGUUGACCUACUUGAAGCACUGAGAGCCAGAAAGACAGGUAAACUGCCAGUUUUAAAAAUUACAGUCACUCCCCAGAUCUCUUCAGACACCUUCAGAUCUAUUUGGAAAAACAGCAAGAAAUCUAGUAGUACUCAUAAAAAGAAGAAAAAGGCUAAAAACUGA